rnacentral:lncRNA from 1 species
UUUCUUUUUCGAACGUUUAUUUUAUUUAUAGUCAAUUCAAUUUAUUUUCCAUAUUGAGAUUAGGUGGAGAUAUGUUUAUAUUAGUUUUCUUAAAGAUUAUCAUUGAUUAGAAGAGUAAGUAAACUUUAUGCACUUAUUUGGACCUAUAAACUUGCUUAUUUAUUGAUAAAUAAAGUAGAUAUCUACUUAAUUUAGAAUAAAUAUGAAUAGUUUUAGGUAAAAUCCUAUGAUAAGUGUAUUUUAUACACUUAUUCGGGUGCUUAAAAUGACAAUAUUUGGUGGUCCUUUUAACAAAUUAUAUCAUAAUUUUUUUAUUUUAUGCUUAAUAGAUAUAUUUCACGAUCAAAAAGGGAGUUGAAGAGAAGAAGCAAAAAUGGGCGAAAAGUGGCAAAAUUCAAGUACAAGGACUAAAUUGGCUAGUUGAUGCAAAGUUUGGAAAUCAAAAUUCAUUAUCUUGAAAAUUAAGGACUUGGAAGCAAACACUAUAAAUGGGCCUCAACUAGACUUCCACGUGGGCUGCUGAUUGAACUUCUUGACCUAGAAGGACCCGCAUGUAUGCAAAGUGAAAUUAAAAAGUCCAAGUGAAAGUGAUUUUCGGUGGCUGCUAGGUUUUAUUUUUUAUAUAUAUACACCAUUUACACGCCGAGGAGGGGGGGAGCCGAACUAGGGAGCAAAUUGGACUCCACUUUGGGGUAAAUUAUUGAGGCUCAAUAGCACAGAAAAUCGGGAGAGAUACAUACGAAUUGGAGAGGUGGAAUUGGGGAGACAACCUGGGGGAAUUGGUUGCUGGAAAUUAGACUUACAUACAUAUAUAAUUACGCCUUGCAGCCAGCAAAACGACUUUUCUGGAAGGAGAACUGCAGCCGGCCAAAUACAACACUUCGGAAGAAUUUCUAACGGCUGGACAAAAAAUUCAAUUGCGGACUGCUAGGAUUGAUUGGAAGAAGGCCCGACACACAAUUGGAUAAAUCAAUUGAGAAACGUGUAAAGCAUAGAGGGAAGCUGAAAGUAGAUUUGGAGGCAAGAAUUGAAGCUGCCGACAAUUAAUAUAUUUACAUACACACGUAAAGACGGCAGCUUGAGGAGGCAGAAUUGAGAAGUUCCAGCUGGGAUUACAAUUAAAUAUUGGAGGCACUCACAGAAAUUGAGGAGAGGCACACAGAGAAGCUCAGAAAUUGCUGGAAUUUAUCACUUAUACGCAUAGGAAAUCGAGGCAGAAUUGGACUCCAAACAUUGAAGCUGUCGACUGGAGUAAAAUUGAAAUUUCAUUCGCGUUUCGUCAAUUAAUCCCGGUGAUAUCUUCCAUUAUUUUAUCUUGUGUUUCUUCCAUAAUUAUGAAUAGCUAAAUUUAAUUUAGGGCGAACAACGUAAUUUAUUUGGAACCCUUUAUUUCGUUGAUUUAAGAUUCUAGUGCUUUUAUAUCUUAUGCGUUGAUUUUAAUGUUGUGCUUAAUUCUUUUAAUUACUUGAUCACUAAUUAAAUGAUUUGUGAGCGAUGAUUGCGUAGAGAUGCGGAUUAUUUG